GAUGUGUCAGAGUAGACCAAUGAUAGGGUGACCAAAUGUCCUGUUUUCCCAGGACAUGUCCUGUUUUUCACAUCCUGUCCUGGCCGUCCUGAGUUGUUUUUUGGAAAGUGAUGAAAAUGUCCUGGUUUUCAUUGUU